UGCGGGGUAGUGUAACCAGGUAGCACGUCAGACUCUGAAUCUGAAAAUUCUGGUUCGAAUCCAGACCCCGCAG
rnacentral:tRNA from 1 species